GCCCCCUUAUUUACAUGAAUUAGUCAAGUUUGUGCCCAAACCUUUUACCUAGGCUCAGUAUCAGUAGUCUGUCAAAAAAUUAAAAUAGGUUAUGGUUGUGAACUGACUAACUGUUUGUUUGGAAAAAUAUUACCCAAGUUGAUUACUUGUCUGCAAUGCUACUCGUCCAUAAUUAUUUGAAGGAUUUUUAACACGACUUUCUGUAUGAUUGUCGCUUUGUCAUAUGCAUCUGUUUGUUGAGUGUUUGGGUUCACAGUCAAUACUUUAAAAUGCCUGUCAGACACAAAUGUCUGAUCAGGUUCGAAUCUUGUCAGACAUUUGGUCAAUCUGUCAGACACACAUGUUAGCUACCUGUAAAAUUUUCAAAUUUCUGGUCAGACAUUGUGACUGAUGCUUCCCAAAUUUUUGUCAGACAUUGCAAUUAUUUGUCAGGUUUGUCUGACAGGUUUCGCAGAGUCUGGGUUCAGAAAGGUAGAAUUUUAUCGGUCUUUACAAUUGAAGAAAAUGUACAUUUGUUUUUUAUCCAAGUACAGAUUAUUUUUAUGACAAUGCAACCCAGUAGUGCCUUUAAGGUUUGAACGGAUCUAUAAACCCCACAAGUUAAUAUGUAUAUAUUAAACAUUACUGCUGAAACCCACAAGUACCUUGAAAAUAACUAACCCCACAGACAAUGUCUAAGUGAAACCCAUUAGUGCUUGUAGAUUUAGUUGGAAAGAAAAACCCCAGAAGUAGCCAUGUUCAGAAUCUUACUGAAACCCACAUAUACCUCUGUGUUUUGUUGAGUAGAAACCCUACAUGAACCAUAUCAUAUUGAAACUCACAAUUAACAGCUUUUGUCAGAGUCUAGAAUGCAGUGAGAAAUUCUUCAUGUAUGCAGUACAAUUUCACACUGCAAGUUGAAUUUUCAGCACACAUUAGUAUUACAAAAUGUAUUCAUUUUUCUGUCAUUUAAGGAAACAAGCAAUUUUCCCUAUAUUUUAUUUGCAGACACUAGUAGCAGUGACGAUAAUGGUUCAAAGCCUAUAGAUGAACAUUCGCAAGAAAAUUGUAAUAGCCAGAAAGGGUCACCAGCAUAUACCAAGUAUAAUACCUGAAGGUUCUAAGACUGGGAUGAAGUUUAAUACCAAUUGAGCUGUAAGGAAAGAGGUUGGAAUCAAAGUCCUUGUCUGUUGGCAACUACAGACAUAGCAGAACCAGAUUAAACACAGGAAAUGGCUGCUCAAGAUAGCAUUUAACCAAAUGAGCUGAUUUAAUUGCUCAUGGAGUCAGAACACAUGGCUCAAAUGAAACAAGAGGAACAUACCCUGUAGACGAAAACAUCGCGAGAAUUCAUCAAAAACAAGACAAAAAUGGAGUCAGAAUGAGGACGAGGAAAUAAGAAAAAUAUUUCAUAAAUGUUUCCUUACAAGAAAAUGUCCAACAGCUCAUCAUUGUCUUAAAGCUAUAAAUUUAAGCAGGAAGAACAACUGUUGCAUUUGUAAACGUAAGAAGGAUGUCCUUAAAAAGAAGUCAUAUUGAAGGAUUGACAGCUUAAGUGAUUAACAUUUAUGUAGUAGACAGCGACUGGGAAACCCAUGAGACAUGAACCAUAGUCACAUAAAAAUAAAAAAAAUGUCACAUAAGUUUUAAGUGCUGAUGAGCCCUGUGUCACAUGGCUAAACUGUAUUGAAUGCAAAAGAAUGAAACUAUUUAAUAGUGCAAAUUUUAUGUAAAGGAAUGUAACCAAAGUGGGGAUUCAAAGUGCUUUCAACGUUUAAAGACAUGUGUUAACAUAGUAUUUUAUUCUAGACUUUGAUUUUUAUGUCAGUUUUCAAUAUUUGUAAGAGGAAAUUGUUGCUAGUAAAAAGGCAAAAAAGUUACCUUUAAGUUUAAGUUUUACAAAUAUCAACAAUAAUGAGGAAUUGACUUGCGAUGAAAAUAACAACACCCGUUUUUAAACAUAUUUAAAAUAAUUGUUCAUAGAAGUAACGGUACACUUAGUCUGCUUCUUCUUCCAAAGU